UACAGAGGGGGCAAGCGUUAUUCGGAAUUAUUGGGCGUAAAGGGCGCGUAGGCGGCCUGGCAAGUGGAAGGUGAAAUCCCUCGGCUUAACCGAGGAACUGCCUCCCAAACUGCUUGGCUUGAGACCAGGAGAGGUGAGUGGAAUUCCCAGUGUAGCGGUGAAAUGCGUAGAUAUUGGGAAGAACACCUGAGGCGAAGGCGGGUUGCUGGGCCGACACUGACGCUGAGGCGCGAAAGCCAGGGGAGCAAACGGG
rnacentral:rRNA from 1 species